rnacentral:tRNA from 1 species
GAAAAAUUAGUUAAUUUAUAAUAUUAAUUUGUCAAAUUAAAGUAACCAUUGUAUUUUUCU